UACGGAGGGUGCGAGCGUUGUCCGGAAUCACUGGGCGUAAAGGGCGCGUAGGCGGCCGCCUAAGUCAGACGUGAAAUCCCUCGGCUCAACCGGGGAACUGCGUCUGAUACUGGGUGGCUUGAAUCCGGGAGAGGGAUGCGGAAUUCCAGGUGUAGCGGUGAAAUGCGUAGAUAUCUGGAGGAACACCGGUGGCGAAGGCGGCAUCCUGGACCGGCAUUGACGCUGAGGCGCGAAAGCCAGGGGAGCAAACGGG
rnacentral:rRNA from 1 species